rnacentral:lncRNA from 1 species
ACAAAAAAUAUACUGAUCCUAGUAGAUAAAGCUAUAAUGCAAAGAUACAAGCAUUUUUCUCUUAAUCUCAUCAUUUAUCAUUAUGUACAUGUACUUUCUGGGCAUAUUAUAAUAAAGUUAAUUUUAGUUGAUGAGCCUGGUCUGGAUCUAGACCUCUCCAUAAAAACUGAAGCUGUGGGAUUCAGAAUUGAAUCCAGAUCUUCCAAGAUGAUAAGCAACUUCUUAUCAUGUGGCUUAUGUACUCAUUCUUUAAUAUAACUAUUUAUCAUAUUGUUUUUGUUUAUGGUAUUAUUUUAGUACUGGUAUAGGGUUAUGUUCUGACAUAUGUAUGUUUUGAUUUACAUAAAGUUUUGCAGGAAAAUCUAC